AUAUAAUUAUUAGUUAACAUAAUUGUAAGGAUAUAUUUCUAUUUACAGGGCAUAAUUAUAGGCAUCAUUAUCUUUCACAAUCCCAUCAAGAUAGAGAUUGAUAUCUUUUGAUUGAGAUUCUUUCCUUUUUAGUGAGUCAUAUAGUGGUUAAACCGACCGAAUGACCCUUGUGGCUGAACCAUUAAAAAUUAUUAGGCUUAUAGGCUAUUCAAAAACUCGAGUUACUAGGUUAAGUAUACAUAUUUUAGGAAGCUGUAUUAUUAAUCCCCUCUCUCCCUUAAGUAUGAAUCCUUAGGUUCAUUUAAUAAGAUGUUGAUGUUUUGGCCAUCACCUUAGAAUUUUUAGAGUACAGAUUAUCGCCUUGAUAAAUUGUAAAUAAUAACUUAUUGCUUUGAUAAUUUUCAAGUGGUGGACUAUUGCCUUUAGAUCAGUUGCCAAGGUCUGUCGUCUUGGCAAACUAUUAUUUUGAAUUAGCCUCUUUAAGGCUUUUUGGGUGAAAAUUGCCUAAGUGCCUCUCUAGGUCUUAAGUAGGCAGAGAUCUCCUUAGGUGCCUUUUUCAGGUUUUUGGUGCCUUACUCAAGUCUUAGGUGCUUUUUUCAGGUCUUAGGUGCCUUAUUCAAGUCUUAAAGUGCCUUAUUCAAGUCUCAGGUGCCUUUUGAGGUCUUUGGGUGCUUUUUUCAAGUCGUAGGUAUCUUUUAUGGGUGAAGAUUGCCUAAGUGAGCCUCUUUUGGGCUUGUAAUGGAGGUGAAAGCUAAGGCUCUAGGCAUAUCCUUAGUCUUCAUGGCUUUAGAGCCUUUACUUUGAGGUUUUUGACCUUCGAGUGGAGGCCUUUGUUUUGAACAUGUUUAGCUUUUGAUAUUUGCAAAAUAAUUUUUGCACAAUCAUAUUUGUGAAAAUAAUUCACUUAUUCAUAUUGUAAAUUUAUCCUAGAUUUCUCAAUAAAAAAUAUGAUAUAUCAAAAGUAUAUUGCUUCACACUUUAAAUGAGACUUGAAAAUACCAUAUCAUGCUUGUGUUGAAGUAUUUGUGGAAGCAUAAAUUUUUAAAUUUUGUAAUAUUUAGGCAUGCAUAUAUAAUAUUGGAUUAGAGAGAUAAAAUCUGAAGUUUAAAUACUUCCAUUACCUGCCAUUUUCUUUAGAAAAUAAUAUUGGAUCAUAUGAAUUUAGUCCAAUCAAACUUGUAUAAGUGCCGCAAAUUAAUUCUAGAAAUCAAAUUUCUAGAAUUGAUAUUGAGCUAACACCUUUAAAUGGUAUGCUAGCUAAAAUUAAAUCACAGAUUAUUUGUUAAAAGAAUUAAAUUUAACUUCAAUAAAAUAAAAGUUGUAAUUAAUAAUUCAGCUAAAAAGGUAGUGCUUGGAAGGUAGAAGGGAUUAACAUAGAAUCAUGGAUAUAUGCUCUAAUGACACACUUGCAAAUAUACUGAAAACAAGAGCUGUUUUAAGUUAGUAAUUUGAUGGCAAUAUUGUAAUACUGCAUAGGAUGAGGCAAUUUAAAUAUCAAAUGAAUGAUGGCAUAAACCAAUAUUUUAUACAGCUCACAAGCCAUUUCUAUCACUAACAAUGACAUUUUAGUAAUUAGGAUUUAAACCCCACACUGACCAUGUGAUGGCUCUUUAGUUCUAUUAUCAAAUGAAAAGUUAUUUAACAAUUAUUAAGCACAUGGUAGAUUUGUAAACUUUAACAAAUUGAUGGCAGUCACAUGCAUGGUGUAAUAAUAAGUAAAACUUAGGUAAUUUACUUAAGCAAGGAUACAAUGAUAAAUUAGAAAUAAAGAUAAAAAUCUGAGGCAAUUUUAAUAAUGAAAAUCAAGAUGCCCAACUCAUUGCUUACACAAAACCACAUUAAUCAUUUAAGAAUGGCACUAUUGUAAAUUCUUACUAAAAUUGAGAGUAGACUUACAUAGGCUGUCUUCUUUCUCAGGCUACUUUGCAUGCAAAUAAUUUUCUGCACACAGCUCGUCCUGAUCAUGAGCUUUAGUUGUCGACCAUAGACUGUCUUUCAUGGCUGCUAUAAGAAAUUCGUAAUUUUAACUUUUCCCAAUUGCACCACAUCAUUUAAAAAAUGAUGCUUCCAGACAAAGGCAGAAUUUAUACGGCCAUAAUUGCGUAGCAUGUGACAAAUGACAAUAGAGCCUUUGUAGUAUACUUAUUGAAUGUGCCUCAAUUUAGUUAUUCCUUAAUUGAAAAUUUUGUGGCCUUUUGCGAUUGGAGCAACCCUGAACAGGAAAAAAAUUUAGUUAGAGAGGUCAACAAAGUUAUAGAAACCAAAUUGUUAUUGUUAAUCCAAAUUAUAGAAAAAAUUAGUGUUCAGAUAUCAACAUUCAUUUUCCUGCUCUAUUUGUUUUAGAUUGGAAUUUUUUUUUCUUUUCCUUGCUCCAAAUAUAUUUUUAAACUCCUUUUUUAUUUGGAUGUAUGAUUAGAGUCUUGCAUCAAGCAACUCACAAUAAAGGUGAAAUGACCAUUAAUGGACAAGGUCAAUAAAAGUGAUAAUUAUGUAUUAAAGCAACAGUUAAUUGUGCCUAAAAGAUUUAAACCCCACAAAGAGCCUAAUUAUCACCUUUAUUGAUGCAUAGGUAUACGACACCAUUUAUUAACAUAUUUUACAAGUAAUUUAAACAUCACCAACAUGCAUGGAAAAAUAGCAUAUAGGAUUCUUUGAGUUGGAAUCCAGCAUAAGGAAUUCAAGUAAAUUGUAUUAUUUAUCAAGAGAUUCCCAAAUCAAUUUAAACAUCACGAACAUGCAUAGUAAAAUGGUAUAUCUAAGUUUAAAAAUCCUAAUUUUUUCAGCAUGCCAAUUAAAGUGGGCAGCUAUAUAAAAUCGAAGAAAUUCAUGUUUAAGAGAGUUAAAGAAAAAAAAAAGUUUAUUAAGUUAUCUUUUGAAGCUUCUAGUGACGCGUCAAAGCAAUGAUUAGUGUCAAAGGGCGGUGACCCAUCGCAAAGCAGUUGCUUGAAGAACACGACCAACCCAAGAAUAGUGUUUGAUGUAUACAAAUUCGAAGGGAAAAUGUCUUGAUGAAGCGUGGAGGAGAGAAUUGCAAUUGGUCUCGAAUCCACAAAGCAACCAAUUGAAGAACUUGACCAAGAUGACAUGUGACCAGAUUCGAAGGGAAAAUAUAAUGCUACUGUGCUUGCUAUAUGUGCAAUCGAAGCUAAGGAAGGAGAAAAUUAAGGAUCAACGGUAAACAAAGGAAAGAGAGUAGCUAAAAGUGGAAAAGGAGGUGGAUGUGGUGGGUGGGAUGAAAGGCGCACAAUGGAGAGAACAAGGAGUUAGGGUUUCAAAAUUGAGGGAGUUGGGGAUUGUUCAGAGUGAGUGGAUGGGUA
rnacentral:misc_RNA from 1 species